ACGGCUCAGUAACACGUGGCUAACCUGCCCUCGGGACGGGAAUACCCCCGGGAAACUGGGGCUAAUCCCCGAUAGGUGAAGAACUCUGGAAUGAGUCUCCGCCCAAAAGACGCUUAAAUCAUGCUUUUAGGCGCCGCCCAAGGAUGGGGCCGCGACCGAUCAGGUAGUUGGUGAGGCAACGGCUCACCAAGCCUUUAACCGGUGCGGGCCGUGGGAGCGGGAGCCCGGAGAUGGGCACUGAGACAAGGGCCCAGGCCCUACGGGGCGCAGCAGUCGCGAAAACUUUGCAAUACACGAAAGUGUGACAGGGCUAUCCCGAGUGCCAUCCGCUGAGGAAGGCUUUUACCCAGUCUAGAAAGCUGGGAGAAUAAGGAGAGGGCAAGUCUGGUGUCAGCCGCCGCGGUAAUACCAGCUCUCCGAGUGGUGUGGAUGUUUAUUGGGCCUAAAGCAUCCGUAGCUGGCCAAGUUAGUCCCCUGUUAAAUCCACCGAAUUAAUCGUUGGUGUGCGGGGGAUACUGCUCGGCUAGGGGACGAGAGAGGCCGACGGUAUUUUCGGGGUAGGGGUGAAAUCCUAUAAUCCCGAGAGGACCACCAGUGGCGAAGGCUGUCGGCUAGAACGCGCCCGACGGUGAGGGAUGAAAGCUGGGGUAGCGAACCGGAUUAGAUACCCGGGUAGUCCCAGCUGUAAACGAUGCACGCUAGGUGUUUGGGCGGCCACGUGCCGCUCUAGUGCCGCAGGAAGCUGUUAAGCCUGCCGCCUGGGGAGUACGGUCGCAAGGCUGAAACUUAAAGGAAUUGGCGGGGAGCAC
rnacentral:rRNA from 1 species